rnacentral:lncRNA from 1 species
AAUCCACAUAGACAGCCAUUAUAUAAACAGUAAAAUCUCUCAAGAGAUGACUAACAGGUUACCCAGAAUUGUUUGUCAAACUAAUAAAUAAAUCACAACAACUGAGCCCUUUUGAUUCAUGAUAUGAAACUUCCACAGCCUUAUAAUCCUCUCUCGAGGGAUCAAAGUAAAACCCUACAAAAGGGCUGAACUGAUGUAAGGCAGGGCUGGAGAGAUACAUGGAAGAUGGUUCUUGUAUGCAGCAAUAUUGCUUCCAAAAACAUAAAACUUGAUUGGAUGAUCCAACCAUCUGAAUCCAUGUGCUUUUCGGCCAGCUUUAAUCGCUGGGCUGAACUUGUAAUAUGCAACUUUUCAAACAUGACAAGUUUUUAAGGACUCCUGGUAGACUUGUGGUGUUGCCGAUGAGAUUGGACGAAGCCAUGACUUGAGAGAUGAGGCCAUGGCACAAUUUACAUACACGACACAAAUCGAACGAGAGAUUUAACUGGUAAUCAACAGAAACUUCACAGAUGAUAACGUCCGGCAAGAAAGCGUCUGAAUUUUCUGCAAACUCCAUCACC